AAUACUAAGUGGCAGAUAAUAUCAUAAAUAUGCGGAAGGACAACCCAACACAGCCCGAUACCGGGGUGUCACUAGUCAUGAGCAUCUAUAUAUCCUACUACAGAUCCAAUAAGUCUAUAAACUAUUACAACUUUCUAAUCAGAAAUAGAAAUGAAAAAAAGGGAGAAACACGGGACUGCGGACGUCAAGCAGCUACCUCGUGAACUCCGAAUGUCCGCCGGGAGCUCUCAACUCGCACUGACAAGAUCAGUAAUGCCUGAAUCUGCACACAGGGGUGCAGGGAGUAAAGUGAGUAAUCCAACUCAGUGAGUAACAAAUGUAAAUAAAGACUAAAAGCAAGAAAUCACGUAAGGCAGAAAGCAUUCUAUAAUGAAGUAGUAAAACCAUUUAAAAAUCCGUGAAUCAGUGAAAGAUAGGUAAAAUCCUUUAACUCAAAUGUAGUUUCAUGAAAAUCCUUUUUCAAUAAUUAAGCAGUUAAUUGAUAGUCAAUUAUGAAAAGUAAACACAUAAAGGCUCUCCCCUGGGGCAUAGUAUCAAGAAAUCCGUCCCUCGGACAACAUCUCAGAACAGUACCAGCCCAUCGGGCUCAAUCUCACAUCACAAUGGGUACUCGCACUCACUGGGGGUGUACAGACUCCUGGAGGGGCCCCAUACGACCCAAGAGCAAUAUCAAGCCACCUCGUGGCAUCAUCACUAGGCAAUCGGCCUCAUAUCAAUCAAGCCACCUCGUGGCAUACAUAUCUCAGGCCCUCGGCCUCAUAAUCAAUAUUGAAUAUUCCCUCACAACACAGGCCCUCCGCCUUACUCAGUCAAAAAUCCUCACCACGCACUCAGGCAGUAGUAAAACAUGUUUCUCAGCCCAAAAUAUCAUUUAAAAGAUCAUUUAAGUGUUAAAACAAAGUAAACAUGGCUGAGUACGAAAACAAUGAAAUAUAAUAUGACUGAGUUCAAGUAUAAAGUCAAACUAGAGAGAAAAUAUCAGUAAAAAUCCCCGAAGGGUUCAAAUAGUUGGCAUUCGGCCCAAAUAAUGAUGAUAACAAAUAGAUUUCAGUCAAAUAUGCGGUAAAAUUAUCAAUCGGGACGGACAAAGUCACAAUCCCCAAUAGUGCACUACCCCACGCUCAUCAUCAAGCGUGCCUCACCUCAACAUAGCACUACGAUGUCCAAUUCGGGGAUUCAAGCCCUCAGAACAUCAUUUACAAUCGUUACUCACUUCGAACAGGUCAAAUUUCUAGCUCGCGAUGCCUUUUCCCCUUGAAUCGGCCUCCACUCGCGUCGAAUCUAUCCAAAAUCAGAAUGAGGACGUCAAAAUAUACUAAGGAAUCGAAGCCCAAGUGAAAAUAAUCAAUUUAUAACAUAAAUUCCAAAAUUACCAAAACCCGACCCCUGGGCCCACGUCUCAGAUUUCAAUAAUAUUUACAUCAAUAGAUUCCUUAUCUCCCCACGAGUUCAUACAUAUCAAAAGUUCUCAAAUCCGACCCCAAAUGGUCCUUCAAAUCCCCAAUUAAAGGUUUAAGUUUUCAAGCCUUAGUUUUCCCAAUUGUCACCUUUAAUUUCCAGAAUUUCUAGCCCUAAUCCGUGAAAUAAUAGCAUAGGAACAAGUUUUUAAGUCCAAAUCCUUACCUCAAUGAAGUUCCCUUGAAAUUCCUCUUUCAAAUCGUCCAAAAAGCUCCAAAGCCGGGAUAAAAAUGGUAAAAAUAGCUAAAAUUCGCGAAUGCCACAAUUUAUAACUUCUGUCCAGACCUUUUCGCAUCUGCAGUGUAAUACUCGCUUCUGCGAUACCGUAUAUGCGGUUCUUUUCUCCGUUUCUGCGAAAAUCACUUAUUCCCCUUAGUUUGCAUCUGCGGUACCCUACCCGCACCUGCGACAUCGCAGAUGCGGUCCUCUUAGCCGCUUCUUCGGUUCCUGCUCCUAAAGCCAUUUUUGCUUCUGCGAUCAAUUCCUCCGCUUAUGCGGCACCGCACCUGCAGUCCCAAAUCUGCAGGUGCGGAAAUACUAGAAGCAGCAAAUUCAGUAGCUGCAACAAAGUCCAAACUUCUCCGUUAACCAUCCGAAAUCACCUCGAGGCCCUCGGGACCUCAACCAAAAACACAAACAUAUCCUAAUACCUUAUUCAAACUUGUACCAAUUUUCAAAAUACCUCAAACAACAUCAAUUCAACCAAAACACAUCGUUUUCAAGCAAAAUUUUCUAAAAUCUUUCAAAUUCCGCUUUUGAUCAAAAACCCAAUCAAAUCACGUCCGAAUGACCUGAAAUUUUGCACACACAUCCCAAAUGACACAACGAAACUACUGCAACUCUAGGAAUUCCAUUUCGACCCCUAUAUCAAAAUCUCGUCUACCAACCGGAAAUCGCCAAAUUAUCAACUUCGCCAAUUCAAGUCUAAAUCCACUAUGAACCUCCAAAACUCAUUCCGAUCACGCUCCUAAGUCAUAAAUCACCUCCCAAAGCUAACCGAACUAUCAGAACUCACAUUCGAGCCCUUUAACACAUAAGUCAACAUCCGGUUGACUUUUCCAACUUAAACUCACUCUAAAAAGACUAAGUGUCUCAAACCUUACAAAAUCUUUUCCAAACUCGAUCCGACCAACCCGAUACCACAUAACACGGAUAAACAAAGCAUAAAGAAGCAAAAGUAGGGAAAACAGAGCGGUAACUCAUGAGACGACUGGCCGGGUCAUCACAUCGAAAUUGUAUUCUAUUAAAAGAGUAAUUUUUAUUAAAAACUUCUGGUGGUAAAAUAUUGAAGUUUUUGCAAAAAUUCAUCUUCAAAAAAAAUCAAUAGCUCCUAGUAAAGUACUAGCAGUAUUUUCAUUCUGAAGUACUUGCAUAAUUAUUCGCUCCAGUAAUAUUAGUACUGAAAUCUUUAUCAAUGGCAGUACUAGAAUUUUCUAAUUUGAAAAUUCUUUCAUCUAAGGCUAUAUUUGAUGUCUUUAACUCCGAGAUUUCUUUUUUGAGAUAAUUUAUCUCAGUACACAAAUCUUGGACAGUAGUCGGCCUAUCAGGAUGGGACUUAUUUUUAAUAAGUCUUCUGAUUUCAAACAUAGUGGAAGGCCCGAGGUCCCAAAUUAUUGAUAAAUUUCCUACAAGUUCAGAGUUAGGAAUAGAGGUGGAAGGUAUUCCAUCUCUAAAAGGGCCUUACACUAUGCCUGAAAUCAGAAGACUUAUUAAAAAUAAGUCUCAUCCUGAUAGGUCGGCUACUAUCCAAGAUUUGUGUACUGAGAUAAAUUAUCUCAAAAAAUAAAUCUUGGAGUUAAAGGCUACAAAUAUAGCCUCGGAUGAAAGAAUUUUCAAAUUAUAAAAUUCUAGACUGCCAUUGAUAAAGAUUUCAGUACUAAUAUUACUGGAGCGAAUAAUUGUGCAAGUACUUUCAGAAGAAAAUUCAUGUUGUACUUUACUAGGAGCUAUUGAUUUUUAUGAUGAUGAAUUUUUGCAAAAACUUCAAUAUUUUACCACCCAAAAUUUUUUAAUAAAAGUUGCUCUUUUAAUAGAUUACAAUUUCAAAAAGGAGUUUACUGCUCUAUUUGAUAGUGGAGCAGAUUUAAGUUGUAUAAAAGGAGUAAUACCCUCCAGAUAUUUUUAUAAAACCACUCAUCGUUUAAAAAACGCUAGUGGUGGUCAAAUGGGUAUUUUAUAUAAAUUGCCCAGGGAUUAUAUUUGCCAAGAGGAUGUAUGUGUACCAGAAAAUUUUAUUUCGGUAAAGGAUAUUGUUCAUGACGUAAUACUAGGUGUCACAUUUUUUUUUAAAUUGAUUCCCUUUACACAUUAGGAUACAAGAAGUUUUACUGGAACUUAUAAAGGAAAAGGAAUCACUUUUGAGUUUAUAACUCAGCCAAUCCUAAGUUUUUUGAAUGAAAUUAUUUCUAAUAAUAUUUCUUCAAAGGUCAAUCAAAUUGAAUUUUUAAAAAAUAAAAUGUGUUCUCUUACUAUUGAACAGGAUUUUAUAAAUCCCAAAUUAGUAGAAAAAAUUAAUUUUCUCAAAAAUCAUUUUCCGCUUCUAUUUGUGGUGACCAUCCAAAUCAAUUUUGGAGCAUGAAAAAGUAUAUCAUAAGUCUUCCUUAUGAAGUAGGUUUUUCUGAGGAUAAUAUCCCUACCAAGGCUCGUCCUUGUCAGAUGAACUCCGAUUAUUUGGAAUUAUUCAAAAAGGAAAUUGAUUCCUUACAACAGAAGGGUUUAAUUAGACCCUCAAAGUUCAAAUGGUCUUGUACUGCUUUUUAUGUAAAUAAUCAUGCUGAACAGGAAUGAGGAGUUGCCAGAUUAGUUAUCAACUACAAGCCCCUCAAUAAGGUCUUGAAAUGGAUUAGAUAUCCUAUUCCUAAAAAGGACUUAUUAGAUAGAUUACAUGAUGCCAUUAUAUUUUCGAAAUUUGACUUGAAAUCAGGUUAUUGGCAAAUUCAGAUAUCUAAAUCGGAUAGGUAUAAAACUGCUUUUAAUGUUCCAGUGGGUCAAUAUGAAUGGAAUUUAAUGCCCUUUGAUUUAAAGAAUGCGCCAUCCGAAUUUCAAAAAAUUAUGAAUAAUAUCUUCCUUCCUUAUACGGAUUUUAUAAUUGUAUAUAUUGAUGAUAUCUUGAUAUUUUCAAAAAAUGUUGAGUCUCAUUUUAAACAUUUAGAUUUGUUUUAAAAAAUUAUUAUUCAAAAUGGUUUAGUUAUAUCCAAACCAAAAAUGAUGAUUUUUCAAAAUAACAUUAGAUAUCUCGGUCAUAAUAUCGACAAGGGUAGAACUAUUCCCAUUAAUAGAAGUAUUGAAUUUGCUUCUAAGUUCCCUGAUAUUAUCACUGAUAAGACUCAACUUCAACGAUUCCUAGGAAGCUUAAAUUAUAUUUCUCCCUUUAUAAAGGAUUUAGCCAAAGGUACUGCUCUUCUUUAUGAUAGAUUGAAGUAGAAUGUGAAAGCUUAGACUGAUAGUCAUACAAAAUCAGUCAAAAGAAUUAAACAAAAGGUUAAUAACCUUCCCUGUUUAACUCUAGCUAAUCCCAUUUGGGCAAAGGUUGUUGAAACUGAUGCUUCUGAUAUUGGUUAUGGUGGGAUAUUAAAAUAAUAUUCUCCAAUGGAUAAACAAGAAUAUCUUGUUCAGUUUUACUCAGGAAAGUUAAAUGAUUCCCAGAAAAAUUAUGCAACUGUAGCUAGGAAAAUUCUUGCUAUAGUGAAAUGUGUUAUGAAACCUUCAAAGAGGUAGUGAAGGAGAGUUGGAAUGCUGAUUUUAGUGCUAACCCUUUCUGCAUUUUUAACUACAAGUUAAAGAAGCUUAAGCAAGCACUAUCUACCUGGAGCAGAGCUACAUAUGGGGAUAUAUUCCAAAAGAUUGCAAGCCUUGAGGAGGUGGUAUUGGUUCAUGAAAGACAAUUUGAAGUCAAUCCUACACAGAUGAACAGACAAAGAUUACGAAGGUCCAAGCUAAAAUGAUUAAAUAUCUUGCAUUAGAAGAAGAAUUCUAGAGGCAAAAAGCUGGCAUGUUAUGGUUCAAAGAUGGCGAUAGAAACACUAAUUUCUUACAUGCUCAGGUUAAUGGGAGAAGGAAGAGACUAAAAUUAUCAAGGAUCCAGAAUAUCCUUGGUAACUGGAUUGAAGAAUAUCACUUAAUAGCAGAAGAAGCAGUAAAGUUCUACAAGGAUCAAUUUACUGAGAGUGUAGUGCCUAAUGAUUUUGAUAUUCUAAAUCAUGUACCUUCAAUGGUAGAUAGCGAUCAACAUGAGAGAUUGAUGGUUUUGCCUUCCAAUGAAGAAGUGAAGAGCGCAGUUAUGGGGUUGAAUGGGGACUCAGCAGGCGGACCAGAUGGUUUCACUGGAGCCUUUUUCCAAACAUGCUGGGAAAUCAUUGAAGAAGAUGUAGUCGGCAUGGUCAGGGCUUUCUUUUGCGGUCAGCAAUUGCCAAAAAGUGUGACACAUACAAACCUGGUUUUAUUACCAAAGAAAAAGAAGUGAUGACCUUUGCAAACAUGAGACCAAUCAGUCUCAGCAGCUUUGUUAACAAGAUUUUCUCGAGGGUUAUUCAUGAAAGGUUGGUUGAAUUUUUACCAAACUUAAUCUCACAGGAACAGGUAGGUUUUGUGAAGGGAAGAAGUAUAGUUGAGAAUGUACUAUUAACUCAAGAAAUCAUUACGGAUAUCAGGUUGAGAACAAAAGCAGGCCCAAAUGUUUUGAUUAAGCUCGACAUGACAAAAGCUUACGAUAGGCUAUUAUGGCUUUUCCUUACCAAAAUGCUAAGGAAGAUGAUUUUCUCCGCUUCUCCGCUUCUGUUGAUCAUCUCGGAUUAUUGACUUGCAUUCUUGCCACGAGCUUCUGCUACUUCUGACUUGAAUUGAAUUCUGAAAAAACUUCCUUUGUUCUCCAGGUGGCGCCUGAUUGCUAAAACUUGAACUGACUUCCGUUGAAACUUGAACUGCUUUCCCUUGAAACUCGAAUUGUUUUCCACUUGGGAUAAUUUAUGGUGUCCCAAGUCACCAGUUCAAAUCCCGAAUCGAGGAAAGAUUGACUCUGUAUUACAGUCCGCGAAUCAGAAAUCCGGGUAAGGAAUUCUGUUAAUUCGGGAGAAGGCGUUAGGCAUUCCCGAAUUCUGUGGUUCUAGCACGGUCGCUCAACUGUUAUAAAUGGCCCAUUAUCUGAUUUUAAUACAUGUUUAAACCUAUGUGCAUUUUAACUUAUUAACCGCUUUUAAUUACUUUUAGGAAGAUUCAACGUUAUCUAAAACAUGUCUUUGAACCACGCCACAUGAAAUGCACCCGCGGUCCGCGACACAUUUUAUUUAACGUUGUUGAAAUUUGGAUUUGGGUCACAUGAAAUACACACCUGAGUUUAGGAAGGUAAUAUAAUUAAAAUAAUGUGCCUAAAGCAACAACGCAUUUUUAAAUUUGCGAGGGCCAUGGAAAAUUUGCUAAAUGGCGCGCCUCAAUUUCUAAGGAUUAAAAGUUAUUAAAUAAGGGCCAUGUGAAGUAUGGAAAGUUGUUUGUGGAAGAGGCGUAAGAUUCAACUAUUAGGAUUAUUAACAAGUCAUCUAUAACUUCAUGUCAGAUCUAUUGCUAAUCACAUGGACUUUAUUCAAUUACUCAUUAAAGAAGAACUGAACCAGUAGACUAUACCAUGUCAUUAUUUUGAAACAUAAUUAAAAAAAAAAAAAAAAAAACUUGUACAUGUGCAUUUGAUAACAAGCGGAUUUAUAUAUGUCAAAUCUUCACUUAUUUCUCCAAACAACACCUUCAAUUUUUCAUAAUCCUCAACAAUCUUCAUAGCAGAACUCAAGCUCUUACAAUAAGCUUGUUAUCAAAUGCCUAUUUGAAGUGAAACAACGUUCUUUCAUGGUGAAAAUUAACAAUUAAUGGUAGUUGAAAUUAUACUGUUUCAUAAAAUGAUAAUAUCCCAAUUCCAAGCAUAAAAUCCAAGUGCUAAUGGAUAAGUAAUAAAGGUAAAGGACGGGUACAUUAUACAUAUAUAUAUAUAUAUAUAUAUAUAUAUUUAAAGAUAUGCUGCUUUCCAAUUCCAUUUCUAAUUUGGUAACUCUUGAAAUCUCCUAAUUCACGAGCUCUUUUUUAUUUUCAUUUAAUAUUUCAAACAAAUACCACACAAAACUAUAUAAAUAUUGGGGAAAAGACAAUAGAAAUGAGGUUGCAAAAGAUAACAAAGAAAAGAAAAGGAAGAGAAAAUUGAAGCCACACGUACAUACCUGUACUAAGCCAUUUACAGAACUAAUAGCAGAUCCAUCAUUUAUAUACUACAAAGCUGUGUAUCGAUCUCUUAGGGAAAAAACAAGGAGCAAUAUAGUGAUGAAAGAGGAAGAAACCCAGUUGCAGUCCAAGCAAGUAGUCAGCGAUAAAAUAGCCCUCCGAAAACUCGAUUCAACUUUGAAAACCCGGCUACUGUAGAGCCAAAUUAACCAACCUCAACAGCUCUUCGAAGUCAUUUUUUUUAACAAAAUUUUGUGCUCCUCGGCUUUCUUUUUUUUAGAUAUCAAGUUGACACUUUUCGCUUUUGAGAUUCAUUUGCCGGAGUCAACUUCACAUCCUUUCUAUGGAUCCCUCUAUGCGUGAGUCUAAAUGGACAAAUAUAUAGUUCAAUAUGUGUGUACAGAUGUAAGGAAAGGUGAAAUUUGUGUGUAUUUUUGGUUUCUCUGCUGAGAGCGAAAUGUGGAAAUGAUGUCAAAUGGCGCUAAGGUUGGGGAGGUCUAA
rnacentral:lncRNA from 1 species